CCAGGUGGAGGGGAAGGGCCUAACAGGCAGAGGGAACAGCCCCAGAGAGAUCCCUGAGGCAAUCAUGCAAGCCAAAAAGAAAGCAGUGAGGAUGUAAAGGAGACAAUCUCCUGGGAGCCAAGAUUUCCUAACUGAUAAAGUGUGAGCUAGAGGGAGCCUCAGUUCAGCCUGAGGCAGGUCCCAGCAAAUUUAGGACUUCAAGUCACACUGGUCAGCGUUAACUUCCUUGACAGAAAAACCACACCCACCAAGUCUUCCGCCAGGCCCUCUAACCCUCUACUUUCCGACACAGAAGAGAGGGCAGAGCACCGCAGUCUGUCUGCCUUGGGGUCAAAGUGAGUAAUUUUCCAGGCAGAGGAGGAAGAUUAAGAAGGCAGGCGCUAACUCCUUCGGGUAUGAUGAAUUCCUGGGAUCCCAGAACAGCUGGGCUGGAAGGGACCUCGAAAAGGGAAUUGCCAACACAUGCCCCGUACCAGGCCCUGAGCCCGGCCUUUUCGUGAACAUUGUCUUAACACUUCUAACUCCACUUUGAGAAAUGGCAGCGGGAAGGCAGCAGAUGGACUGCGACUCCCGUCAGGUACCACACACGCGGAGGGUUGUGGACAAGAGGGCGUGUGAGUGCCUGGGAAGGAGGUCGGGUCGGGGGAGAAGGCCAUCUUGUUUGUAGUCAUCGUUCCCGCUCCUUCUCUAUGCUCUGCAACGGGGAGCCUCGGGGCAACCGGACUAUAACUCCCGGCACCCUCGGCUCCCGGCUUGGCACGUCCUCCGCCAUCUCGUUUGUAGUACCCGCUGGCCCCAGCGUCCUAUUGUCCUCAUCAUAGCACCAGCGUCCGCAGGACUACGACUUCCGUCGUGCCCUGCGCGUAUCCGUCCUGGAAAGAGGAGGUGGUGGGGAAAGGAGGGGGCAGGGGGCGGGGUUCCU
rnacentral:lncRNA from 1 species